GCACUGACAAUGUGACGGUUGAUAAGAACAUCAAAGUCUAUCCAAACCGAAAGCCCUGGAUGACAAGUGAAGUCCAGUCAAACCUGAGAGCCCGAAACGCCGCCUUCAAAACAAAGGACAAUGUUCUGUACAGCGUGGCGAGAGCGGACCUAAGGAGAGGAAUUAAAGGUGCGAAGGAGGCCUACAAAAGGAAGGUUGAGAGCCAUCUGACAAACAACAACCCUCGUCAAGUGUGGCAGGGAUUAAAACAUCUCACAAACUACAAAAGCAGCCCCUCAGUGACCAUCAGUGCCAACGCCUCGCUGGCAGAGGAUUUAAACCAUUUCUUUGCCCGUUUUGAGGCUACAAGGCCCAACACAGACAUGCUGACCCCUCCGACCACAAGCCAACACACACUCACUAUCCAGGAACAUGUCAAUCAGUGGAAUCACCAUGGGCUUAGGACGGAAGGUCACAUGAGUCCGUUGCAGAUCUUUGUUCAAGGGUGUCUCCAGCAUCAGGGAAGAAGUUCAUCUGCCAUGCAGUACGUUUUUGGAGGAACUGCUGCUGGCCUUGCCCCUCCUCAAGCUGCUGGCCUUACCCCUCCUCAAGCUGCUGGCGGCCUUGCCCCUCCUCAUGCUGCUGGCCUUGCAACUCCUUUUGCUGCUGAUACUGCUGCUCCAGCUCCUGCUGCCCCUGCUGCUGCUGCAAGUGAUGAAGAAGCUGCAUGGCUAGUAGACAGGCAAGAGAGGGUAACUGUGCCUCAUAUAGACUAUCCUUUGGAAGAGGCAGUGAUGGAGCACAUUCAGGCACAGUUUGACCCUCUCAGUGGCCCUAGGGGAGAACAUGGAAUACUAGUAAUCCGUGACCUGGUAUCCUUUAUAGACUCCUUGAGAAAGACUUGCUUGUGACUUACAAGCAAUUUCGGGCCAAUUUUUAGUAUCAAAGUUAGUUUGGGGUCAAUAAAGUGUCGGUCUGUCUGUAUGUCUGUCUGUCUUGGGGAAAAUGCCGUGAAAAAUGUACGCACGGUGCGUUCAGGAUUAGGACUGAUAUAGCAUAUUUUUUCCUUGGGCUAAUCAAUUGUGUUUAAUAUUUGAAGCAUUCAUAUUAGUCUAGUAGCCUAUUUUCAUAGGCUACUCUGCUGUUGGCCUUCAUUGGAAGAUAUAUUGCUGCCAUGCACAAAUAGUUGAAUCCAACAAGAUUCCUGCGUCUCCCCAUCCUACAGAGCCC
rnacentral:lncRNA from 1 species